AUUGAACGCUGGCGGCAUGCCUUACACAUGCAAGUCGAACGGUAACGGGCCUUCGGGUGCCGACGAGUGGCGAACGGGUGAGUAAUGCAUCGGAACGUACCCAUCAGUGGGGGAUAACUCUCCGAAAGGAGGGCUAAUACCGCAUAUUCUGUGCGCAGGAAAGCGGGGGACCGCAAGGCCUCGCGCCGAUGGAGCGGCCGAUGUCAGAUUAGCUAGUUGGUGGGGUAAAGGCCUACCAAGGCGACGAUCUGUAGCGGGUCUGAGAGGAUGAUCCGCCACACUGGGACUGAGACACGGCCCAGACUCCUACGGGAGGCAGCAGUGGGGAAUUUUGGACAAUGGGGGCAACCCUGAUCCAGCCAUGCCGCGUGAGUGAAGAAGGCCUUCGGGUUGUAAAGCUCUUUCGGCCGGGAAGAAAUCGCAUCUCCUAAUACGGGGUGUGGAUGACGGUACCGGAAUAAGAAGCACCGGCUAACUACGUGCCAGCCGCCGCAGUAA
rnacentral:rRNA from 1 species